AGCAACGUUCCAUCUUAGUUCUUACGUUAAGUCAGUUUGUGUCGGACGUGUCAGAACUUCAGCUACUUUUUCUAGCAUUUUCAACUGUUUUUCAGUUUUAUUUCUAUCAGAAUUUACAUUUUUUAUCUUUCUUCGAUCAGUUUUCUUUUGUUUUGCUUUUUGAAACUACAAUUUUUGAACGAAGAAAACUUGCACAGUCACUCCCUUGGACUCUGGACAUUUUUUUUGGAACUUUUUGGACAGUGAUGUGUCGGAAAACGAUGGAUUUCAAGCCUAAACACCACUUAAAAUCCGAUUGUGUGCGCAGAAUUAUCCACCCUAGGCUCAGUUUGAGACUCCUCCGUGUUACAGUGGACCAAGACACGGGCCUGAGCCAUUGGAGAAGCAACAUCGUGAAAUCUACGAUCAGAAAAUGCAUCCACAAAGAGAGAAAACGAGUCCAAUUGGCUAGAAUGGCUAAAACUACCGAAGAAAGCGGUAAAAUUGACGAAAUUCACGAAGAAACCAACGCUACGGCCUCGGACGCAGCAGCGACCCCCACUCGGAGCAAUGGCGCCCGAGAACACGACGCAAUACCUCAUGAGCAAAGUUUACGAAGAUCUGCCGCAAGAUGAGCACGUUUUGAGUUUUGCCGCAGUUUUGCCGCAAAGUGAGGAGCUGGGAUUGUGGCAGAACGCAAACACGACGCCGGAAAGGAGCUACGACGCGUGUCUUUCGUUCCAGCAGCGAGACUUUGACGAGCUGUACGGUGCGCUCUGGUAAAAACCUGUGCGUAAAACCUGUGCGUAACCAGCGUAUCCGCUUGAAACUGGAAACUGGUGACUGCUCCGGCCACUUGUGGGAACAUUCUGUUGAAAAUGAAAGCGUCCCAUCCUCUAGGGGGCGCCACUGAGCCUCGCCUCACCCCCGUCUGCCCAGAGGAGACAAAAGUGCGCCCCUCGGACAUGGCCUGUCUGUGAGAACGCAGGUAAACCCGGUAAAUUGCGUUUAAAAAAAAAAAAAAAAAAGACGAGAUGGUGGUAAGAUUACUGUGUUGAUACAGUAAAAGUGCUUUCCGCUGUCACUCUUGUCUUGAGCAUUUUCCAGGUUCACGUCGCCAUGACAACCCGGGACGCACGGACGCACACCGGAUGUGAGUUGUCUCGUGGCUGAUCAAAGGUGACUCUUGUGUACCAUGGUAACACGACCGAAAUACGAGCACAUGACAUAGCUGUAAUGUUUAUUGUAAAACUAUUUACUAUGUACAUAUUAAAUAUAAAUAUAUACAAUGUUAUGUUGAAAUGAGUUGUGGGGAAGGGAUUUUAAUAAAGGCGCUUUUGUGAAAUUUAAUAAUUGUCAUUUUUAUGUUGUAUUUUUUUUAGACCAACACCAUACCGCAGUAACUAAAUCAUGAGUAUCUAAGGGGUCUCCAACCUUUUUUCACUUGUCACACGGCACCAUUUUAGGGACCUCCUCCUCCUCCAACGGCGACGACGACGAGACCAGGCAGGACACCACCAGACCAGCUAUGACCGAGCACUUUCAGACCUCACAGUGACAGCCAAUCACGAAGACGGGCCUCCGGAGGGCGCCGCCAGAACGGUUCAUAAUAAAGCCCAGAUCGAUGCAGGGGAGCAGGUUUGGACAGGAGGUAGCUACGACGAAGAAAGAUCGAUGAGAUGUGGUGACAGCGAUCGUAUUAAGAUGCUCCUCCACCACUCACCUGCUGCUCUCUGUGUGUGGCACUGAUUCAAAGAGUGAAGAAAAAUAAAAAACACACUUGUCUAUAGGUCCGGUUGAGCUUAAAAGUGCACUGUGUAACUUUUCUGGAGUGUUUGUCACCAUGGAAAUGUUAAGGCUUUGGUUUAAAUUGUCCACAGUAUGGCAUUAAACUAAUCUGUCUUGCUUUUAUUCAACUACAGGUGUUAUUUAUUGCUCAAAACUAUCUUAAACAACAUUGAUUUUUACUGUGAGUGGGGUCGCCUUUGGUUUGCAAGUCUCCAUAGAGAUUCUUAAGUUUAUGGCCAUAUUGUGGAACAUUUUAGGCUCAUCUCCAUGGUGACAAGCAGGUGAUGGACACUCCAGCAGAAAAGUUACACAGUGUAAUGAUGCCUUUAAAGGUCCUAUAUUAACCAAAAUUGACUCUUGUGAGUUUUAAGUCAUGUUAUAAUGGUGUUGUGUCAUUAAAAACAAACUAGAG